rnacentral:misc_RNA from 1 species
AUUUCUGCUUAGUGGUGCAAUAAUUAAAAUAAAAAUAACUAAUAAUUAUUUCAUAUAAAAUUUGCUAAAUUUUUGAAUUACUUACAUAUUUGUGGAACUUUGGGAGCAAAUAAUUUAUCGGGAUCUUUUUAUUCAUAUUUUUCAUAUCCAGUUUUAUUAAAUCCAUAUUAGUGAUCUCUUCAUGUACUUAUUUAAAUUUAAAGUGUGUUACUCAUAUCUGUGCCCAAGUAAUCUAUGACAGACUAUAAAAACUGAAUACACGGGAGUAUACUAGUUAGA